CCUACGGGAGGCAGCAGUGAGGAAUAUUGGUCAAUGGACGAGAGUCUGACCCAGCCAAGUAGCGUGAAGGAUGACUGCCCUCUGGGUUGUAAACUUCUUUUAUAUGGGAAUAAAAUGUUCCACGUGUGGGAUUUUGUAUGUACCAUAUGAAUUAGGAUCGGCUAACCCCGUGCCAGCAGCCGCGGUAAUACGGAGGUUCCGAGCGUUAUCCGGAUUUAUUGGGUUUAAAGGGAGCGUAGGUGGAUUGUUAAGUCAGUUGUGAAAGUUCGCGGCUCAACCGUAAAAUUGCAGUGGAAACUGGCAGUCUUGAGUACAGUAGAGGUGAGCGGAAUUCGAGGUGUAGCGGUGAAAUGCUUAGAGAUCACGAAGAACACCGAUUGCGAAGGCAGUUCACUGGACUGCAACUGACACUGAGGCUCGAAAGUGUGGGUAUCAAACAGGAUUAGAUACCCCUGUAGUC
rnacentral:rRNA from 1 species